GCGACUAAGCGUACACGGUGGAUGCCUAGGCAGUCAGAGGCGAUGAAGGACGUGUUAAUCUGCGAUAAGCGUCGGUGAGCUGAUAUAAAGCGUUAUCAACCGGCGAUUUCCGAAUGGGGAAACCCAGUGCAAUCCGUUGCACUAUCAUGACCUGAAUUCAUAGGGUCAUGAGGCGAACCGGGGGAACUGAAACAUCUAAGUACCCGUAGGAAAGGACAUCAACCGAGACUCCGGAAGUAGUGGCGAGCGAACCCGGACCAGGCCAGUGGCGAUUGAGAGACAAGCGGAACCUUCUGGAAAGUAGGGCCAUAGUGGGUGACAGCCCCGUACGCGUAAUGCAAUCAAUCGUCCUCGAGUAAGGCGGGACACGUGAAAUCCUGUCUGAAAUUGGGGGGACCACCCUCCAAGCCUAAGUACUCGUGCAUGACCGAUAGCGAACUAGUACCGUGAGGGAAAGGUGAAAAGCACCCCGACAAGGGGAGUGAAAGAGUACCUGAAACCGAUUGCCUACAAACAGUGGAAGCCCAAGGUUCGUCCUGGGUGACCACGUACCUUUUGUAUAAUGGGUCAGCGACUUAGUGUGACGAGCAAGCUUAAACCGCUAGGUGUAGGCGCAGCGAAAGCGAGUCUGAACAGGGCGUUCAGUUCGUCGCAUUAGACCCGAAACCGAGUGAUCUAGCCAUGAGCAGGUUGAAGGUAAGGUAACACUUACUGGAGGACCGAACCCAUAACUGUUGCAAUAGUUCGGGAUGACUUGUGGCUAGGGGUGAAAGGCCAAUCAAACUCGGAAAUAGCUGGUUCUCCGCGAAAUCUAUUUAGGUAGAGCGUCGACCGAAUACCCCAGGGGGUAGAGCACUGGAUGGGCUAGGGGUCCUCACCGGAUUACCAAACCUAACCAAACUCCGAAUACCUGGGAGUACUAGUCGGCAGACACACGGCGGGUGCUAACGUCCGUCGUGAAAAGGGAAACAACCCUGACCUACAGCUAAGGUCCCCAAGUUAUGGCUAAGUGGGAAAGGAUGUGAGGAUCCCAAAACAACCAGGAUGUUGGCUUAGAAGCAGCCAUCAUUUAAAGAAAGCGUAAUAGCUCACUGGUCGAGUCGGCCUGCGCGGAAGAUGUAACGGGGCUAAACUAUGCACCGAAGCUGCGGCAGCGACACUUAAGGUGUUGUUGGGUAGGGGAGCGUUCUGUAAGCCGUCGAAGGUGUCCUGUGAGGGGUGCUGGAGGUAUCAGAAGUGCGAAUGCUGACAUAAGUAACGAUAAUGCGGGUGAAAAGCCCGCACGCCGGAAGACCAAGGGUUCCUGUCCAACGUUAAUCGGGGCAGGGUGAGUCGACCCCUAAGGCGAGGCCGAAAGGCGUAGUCGAUGGGAAACGGGUUAAUAUUCCCGUACUGGUUGUGACUGCGAAGGGGGGACGGAGAAGGCUAAGCUAGCCGGGCGACGGUAGUCCCGGUUCAAGCGUGUAGGGGGUGUGACUAGGAAAAUCCGGUUGCACAUUCUUUAAUGAAUAACCCUGAGGCGUGAUAACGAGGCACUAAGGUGCUGAAGUAGUUGAUGCCAUGCUUCCUGGAAAAGCCUCUAAGCUCUAGGUCACAGUCAAUCGUACCCCAAACCGACACAGGUGGUCAGGUAGAGAAUACUCAGGCGCUUGAGAGAACUCGGGUGAAGGAACUAGGCAAAAUGGUGCCGUAACUUCGGGAGAAGGCACGCUGGCAUGUAGGUGAAGGACCUCGCGUCCGGAGCCGAAGCCAGUCGAAGAUACCAGCUGGCUGCAACUGUUUAUUAAAAACACAGCACUGUGCAAACACGAAAGUGGACGUAUACGGUGUGACGCCUGCCCGGUGCUGGAAGGUUAAUUGAUGGGGUUAUCCGCAAGGAGAAGCUCUUGAUCGAAGCCCCAGUAAACGGCGGCCGUAACGAUAACGGUCCUAAGGUAGCGAAAUUCCUUGUCGGGUAAGUUCCGACCUGCACGAAUGGCGUAACGACUUCCCCGCUGUCUCCAGCAUAGACUCAGUGAAAUUGAAUUCCCCGUGAAGAUGCGGGGUUCCUGCGGUUAGACGGAAAGACCCCGUGCACCUUUACUAUAGCUUUACAUUGGCAUUCGUAGUGGCAUGUGUAGGAUAGGUGGUAGGCUUUGAAACCUGGGCGCCAGCUCAGGUGGAGCCACCCUUGAAAUACCACCCUUAUUACUAUGGAUGUCUAACCGCGGCCCGUUAUCCGGGUCCGGGACAAUGUAUGGUGGGUAGUUUGACUGGGGCGGUCGCCUCCUAAAGAGUAACGGAGGCGCGCGAUGGUGGGCUCAGAACGGUCGGAAAUCGUUCGCUGAGUGCAAUGGCAUAAGCCUGCCUGACUGCGAGACUGACAAGUCGAGCAGAGACGAAAGUCGGUCAUAGUGAUCCGGUGGUCCCGCGUGGAAGGGCCAUCGCUCAACGGAUAAAAGGUACGCCGGGGAUAACAGGCUGAUGGUGUUCGAGAGUUCAUAUCGACGACACCGUUUGGCACCUCGAUGUCGACUCAUCGCAUCCUGGGGCUGAAGUAGGUCCCAAGGGUACGGCUGUUCGCCGUUUAAAGUGGUACGCGAGCUGGGUUUAGAACGUCGUGAGACAGUUCGGUCCCUAUCUGCCGUGGGCGUUGGAAGAUUGAGGGGGGUUGCUCCUAGUACGAGAGGACCGGAGUGAACGCACCACUGGUGUUCGGGUUGUCAUGCCAAUGGCAUUGCCCGGUAGCUACGUGCGGAAAAGAUAAGCGCUGAAAGCAUCUAAGCGCGAAACUUGCCCCGAGAUGAGUCUUCCCUGACUCUUAAAGAGUCCUGAAGGGACGUUAAAGACCAUGACGUUGAUAGGCUGGGUGUGUAAGUGUAGCGAUACAUUGAGCUAACCAGUACUAAUGACCCGAGAGGCUUAACCA
rnacentral:rRNA from 1 species